AACGCAUAUUGCGCUCUCUGGUCCUCCAGGGAGCAUGCCUGUUUGAGCAUCCAGUAAACCCUCACCACCCCCCCAGGGGGGCUGUGGAGCUGAGCAUUCUGGGAUCCCCCCCAUUACCGCAUGGGGCCUGGUUGCUUAAAAUGGAGCGUGUGCUGUGUUUGUCACUGCUUUGCGGCAAGGCGUACCAGUUCUCCUCGGAGAUCCACUUGCGCCGGUGAAUGCCCAGAGCGAUAUGCUGACUGACGGCCGCGACACUCUUGUAGUGUAACCUGCCCACACCAAGUUGCUGCGCAGCAUGCAAGGCACUUGAUCUUGAUCUCAAAUCAGGCAAGACUACCCGCUGAAUUUAA
rnacentral:misc_RNA from 1 species